GGAAAAGAACUUGGGACCUGCCAAAGAGCAGGGCUGAAAGAGAAAGAGCUGUAACACAAACAGGGCUGAAACACACCUCCUGCUCACCACAUUGCAGGUACAAGAAGGAAGAAGCUAGUUGCAGCCCUCUGGGGAGUCCAGACUUAGGGUUCCUUGAGCCAGGGCUGCAACACCAUCCUUGGGGCUCUGCAGUUCCUGAUAUCGCUAAGUUUUGAGGCACCGCCGCAUUCUCUGGUGCCCACAGUAGAAGCUGCUUAUGGUAUGCCUGGUCCAGCUGUAGCGUCUGAUGGAACCAGCACCUGUUCCGGCUCUGGGAGCUGCCCACCCUGCUGCAGCUGGCACUCCUGACUGUACACAGUGGCGGGACCCCCGUGCUUGCUCUGUGCCAGGCUUGUCCUUGGCAGGCAUGAAAUCCAGGCCGAUAGUGUGAACUGAGUGCAGCCUGCUGGGCUGAGUGGUAGGAUCCAGCCCAGUGGUCCAAGCAGUACUCAGGCAGAAGGCACCAACACCACAGAGGUUUUGGCUGGCAAGGCAACAUCCUAAGGAUCCUGUGUCAUAGGAUGACUUGCUCUAGUGAAAGCCAGCUGCCAUUACAAAUGUACGCUAUGGAAGCCUGCAGAGAGGCUCAUGUGACAAGAAACUUAAGUCUUCUGCCAACAGCCACUGAGAAACGUAAUCCUGCCAAUGAUCACGUGAGUGAGCUUGGAAGCACAUCUACUCCCAUUUGGAUUUUCAGAUAAGACUGCAGUCCCAGUUCAUGGUUUGUCUAUAAAUUCAUGAGAGAUGUUGUCCCCAACCACCCAGCUAGGUGACUCCUAUAUUCCUGACCCCAACCACCCAGCUAGGUGACUCCUAUAUUCCUGACCCCAACCAUCCAGCUAGGUGACUCCUAUAUUCCUGACCCACAGAAACUAUGAGCUAAUAACUGUUAUUCAAGAUGCCAGAUUUGGGGGUAAUUUCUUAUACAGUAACAGAUAACUAAUAUGUAGAAUACAAAGGGAAAUCUUGGGACAGAUAAUUUUUGCUUGGUUUUAUUUUUGUUCUUUGAGAUAGCAUAUUGCACUCUUGCUCAGGCCAGAGUGCAGUGACAAAAUCAUAGCUCACUGCAACUCUGGACUCCUGGGCUCAAGUGAUACUUCCACCUCAGCUUCCCAAGUAGCUGGGACCAUUACCCAAAGAAGUUUUUAUUUGGUCAAUUUUCAUGGAGUUUUUUGACUUUGAAUCAUAAGACUAAUCAAAGUUUACCCCUCAAAAAUAAGUUUAAUAUCAUUUUAUGUAAUUUCUCAUUAGUCAAAUAUAUGUUUUCUCUUUAAAUAUUGUUUAAUGAUUUUUCUGAUUAAGAAAGUAAUGUAUUUUUCUAAUGUACAAAGAGUAAAUAUUACAGAAUAUUUUAAAUUGUAUCCACUGCUACAAACAGAGUUGAUGACUAUUUUAGCAGUUUUUUCCCUAUGCUUCUUUUACCAUGGUAUGCAUUAGUUUAUGUUAUCCCCUAAAUAAAAAUAAAUCAUGUUAUAUAUGCAUUUGUCAAACUUCCUGUUUUACAUAUACCUUAAACAGCUCAUAUAGGCAUAACUCAUUUUUUUCCAAGCACCCUACCAUUCUUAGUUCUAUGGAUAAGAAUUAACUCAAGUGGGUUAAUUCAUAUUAUUUGGGUUAAUUAUAAUUAUUUUCUAUCACAGAAAACAUUUUGUAAAAUUUUGUGUGUCUUUAACAAAAUAUAAAUCAUAUUAUUUAGAAAAUGCUGGACUUGUAAACUGUGUCUUAAAACCCC
rnacentral:lncRNA from 1 species